UACGUAGGGUGCGAGCGUUGUCCGGAAUUAUUGGGCGUAAAGGGCUCGUAGGCGGUUUGUCGCGUCGGGAGUGAAAACCAGGUGCUUAACACCUGGCUUGCUUUCGAUACGGGCAGACUAGAGGUGAUUCAGGGGAGAACGGAAGUUCCUGGUGUAGCGGUGAAAUGACGCAGAUAUCAGGAGGAACACCGGUGGCGAAGGCGGCAUCCUGGACCAAUACUGACGCUGAGGAGCGAAAGCUAGGGGAGCAAACAGG
rnacentral:rRNA from 1 species